rnacentral:rRNA from 1 species
GUCGAACGGCAGCGCGGGAGCAAUCCUGGCGGCGAGUGGCGAACGGGUGAGUAAUAUAUCGGAACGUGCCCAGUAGUGGGGGAUAGCCCGGCGAAAGCCGGAUUAAUACCGCAUACGACCUGAGGGUGAAAGCGGGGGAUCGCAAGACCUCGCGCUACUGGAGCGGCCGAUAUCAGAUUAGCUAGUUGGUGGGGUAAAGGCCUACCAAGGCAACGAUCUGUAGUUGGUCUGAGAGGACGACCAGCCACACUGGGACUGAGACACGGCCCAGACUCCUACGGGAGGCAGCAGUGGGGAAUUUUGGACAAUGGGCGCAAGCCUGAUCCAGCAAUGCCGCGUGCAGGAAGAAGGCCUUCGGGUUGUAAACUGCUUUUGUCAGGGAAGAAGUCUUCUGGGCUAAUACCCCGGGAGGAUGACGGUACCUGAAGAAUAAGCACCGGCUAACUACGUGCCAGCAGCCGCGGUAAUACGUAGGGUGCGAGCGUUAAUCGGAAUUACUGGGCGUAAAGCGUGCGCAGGCGGCUUUGCAAGACAGAGGUGAAAUCCCCGGGCUCAACCUGGGAACUGCCUUUGUGACUGCAAGGCUAGAGUACGGCAGAGGGGGAUGGAAUUCCGCGUGUAGCAGUGAAAUGCGUAGAUAUGCGGAGGAACACCGAUGGCGAAGGCAAUCCCCUGGGCCUGUACUGACGCUCAUGCACGAAAGCGUGGG